GAUCACGGGGCACAUGGCUGUAGGAAGGGCCAUGCCCUGAAGACACAGGCAAAGUGCCUGUAAAUAAACCCUGAGUGGGCAACAUGAAUGGCCGCAGACCAGACAAAAUGAGAAUCCAGUUAAACAAGUGCAUGAAAUAUGCCCCUUAGUCCACUCAGCCUGCAACACAAAAGCACAGAACAGGCAGCUUCUAAACCACAGACAUUGACUUCCGUUCUGGAGGCCGGAAGUCCAAGAUGGAGGGUCCCGCAGAUUCCGUGUCUGAUUGUUGCAGCAGAUCCAACUGAAGGAUACACCAACCAUUUUAAUCGGACACAAAAGAACAGGCUGUCCUCACCUGACCACCACCCACAACAACCGAACUUUAAUCAGACACAAAAGAACAGGCUGUCACCUGACCACCACCCACAACAACCGAAGGGCAGGGUGAGUCCAUUUAGAGUCUCGAGAAUUUCAGACGUGCAUUCACUUUAAAGAGUGCACCAGAAGUGUGAUUUGAAGAGGACAAAUGGUUUUCUAGCUCCAGAGUGGUUAAAAUAUAAUCUGGGUAAGUAAGGAGAAAUGGAAGUGCCUAACGAAUCCAACGUGUGAGAAAAGCUGGUGAAGACAAUUCAUGGGGGAUUUGAUGCUCUGUGUAAAACAGAGAAGGAAGAAAGCCAUUUAGUUGUGAAGGAGGCCCUUCGCAAAUACCAGCAAAGGCAGCCCAGGACAGGGACGCUGGCCAACCUCUGCUAGAAUCACGUUGCUGCUAGAUAAUGCAAUGCACAAAUAAAGUAACAGAUCCAAUAAUGCAAAUUUUAAAA
ensembl:lncRNA LINC00700 long intergenic non-protein coding RNA 700